rnacentral:rRNA from 1 species
AACGAACGCUGGCGGCGCGCCUAACACAUGCAAGUCUCACGAGAAACUCUGUAGCAAUACAGGGCAGUAAAGUGGCGAACGGGUGAGUAAUGCGUGGGUGACCUGCCCUCAGCUCUGGGAUAAGCCUGGGAAACCGGGUCUAAUACCGGAUAUGACUCCAUGACGCAUGUUGUGGGGUGGAAAGCCUUGUGCGGCUGGGGGAUGGGCCCGCGGCCUAUCAGCUUGUUGGUGGGGUGAUGGCCUACCAAGGCGA